rnacentral:rRNA from 1 species
GUCGAGCGGAUGACGGGAGCUUGCUCCUUGAUUCAGCGGCGGACGGGUGAGUAAUGCCUAGGAAUCUGCCUGGUAGUGGGGGACAACGUUUCGAAAGGAACGCUAAUACCGCAUACGUCCUACGGGAGAAACCACGGGACCUUCGGGCCUUGCGCUAUCAGAUGAGCCUAGGUCGGAUUAGCUAGUUGGUGGGGUAAUGGCUCACCAAGGCGACGAUCCGUAACUGGUCUGAGAGGAUGAUCAGUCACACUGGAACUGAGACACGGUCCAGACUCCUACGGGAGGCAGCAGUGGGGAAUAUUGGACAAUGGGCGAAAGCCUGAUCCAGCCAU